rnacentral:lncRNA from 1 species
AGUACCUAAUUUAUUUUUAUAUUUUUUAAAUUUUUAUUAUUUAUUUUUGUUACAAGUAGAUGCUUGAAUCUAGUUAGUAGAUCUUAGUACCCGAUUUAUUUUUUAUAUUUUUAAUUUUUAUUUUCUGACUUAAAUUGCUUUCUUCAAAAUUUUAUUUUUUUUGUAAAAUCAAAGAUUUCAAGUUAAAAUCCUACCUUCUCUAUGGAUUUGACCCGACUCA